UACGUAGGGUGCAAGCGUUGUUCGGAAUUACUGGGCGUAAAGCGCGCGUAGGCGGUUUUGCAAGACAGAUGUGAAAUCCCCGGGCUUAACCUGGGAACUGCAUUUGUGACUGCAUGGCUGGAGUGCGGCAGAGGGGGAUGGAAUUCCGCGUGUAGCAGUGAAAUGCGUAGAUAUGCGGAGGAACACCGAUGGCGAAGGCAAUCCCCUGGGCCUGCACUGACGCUCAUGCACGAAAGCGUGGGGAGCAAACAGG
rnacentral:rRNA from 1 species